GGGGAUGGAGUGGGGCACACCCACGGUUGGUGCCACAUCCUCCAGCCGUGGGUGUGCCCCGUUCUAUCCUC